UCACGGAAAAUGUCUUGACGGCGUUGGU
rnacentral:piRNA from 1 species